rnacentral:lncRNA from 1 species
GGAGCUCCCUCUGCUCUUCUUUUAUCCAUUCUUUAUUUCUUGUUCAUGUCACAAAAAGGUUUCUCAUUAUUCAUUAACUUUUUUUUUUCCUUUUUAUGUCUGCUCAUGCAUGUUUCUUAUUUAUUUAUAAUUAUAACGACAAAAAGUAUUAUGGUGCUGAGGUAAUGUUGGAAUAAUGAACUUAUUCUUUUGUUCUUUAUCAACAUUUUAUAUUUUAGACAAGAAAGCAGGGCUG